rnacentral:rRNA from 1 species
AGUGAACGCUGGCGGUAGGCCUAACACAUGCAAGUCGAACGGCAGCACAGUAAGAGCUUGCUCUUACGGGUGGCGAGUGGCGGACGGGUGAGGCAUACAUCGGAAUCUACUUUUUCGUGGGGGAUAACGUAGGGAAACUUACGCUAAUACCGCAUACGACCUACGGGUGAAAGCAGUGGAUCUUCGGACCUUGCGCGAUUGAAUGAGCCGAUGUCGGAUUAGCUAGUUGGCGGGGUAAAGGCCCACCAAGGCGACGAUCCGUAGCUGGUCUGAGAGGAUGAUCAGCCACACUGGAACUGAGACACGGUCCAGACUCCUACGGGAGGCAGCAGUGGGGAAUAUUGGACAAUGGGCGAAAGCCUGAUCCAGCAAUACCGCGUGGGUGAAGAAGGCCUUCGGGUUGUAAAGCCCUGUUGUUGGGAAAGAAAAGCAGCAGGUUAAUACCCCGCUGUUCUGACGGUACCCAAAGAAUAAGCACCGGCUAACUUCGUG